rnacentral:lncRNA from 1 species
GUCAGAUUGAAUGAAAUGAGGUUGAUUUUGAAGUCCUUUCUAUAGAUACGACACAUCUUAUAAAUAAACCAUAUGACCGACAAGUAUUUAUUAUUUGCAGUAGCGUUAUCACCAACAUUGCAUAUGUUGUCUCGCUCAUGAUAGGGUGUCUUUGUGAGCGUCUAGAUAACUCAUAUCUAGGCGUAGAUACUUUGGACUAGUCGGUAUAACCUGGCCAAAUUGAAAAGCCUUUGUAGAUCAUAUUACAAGAUAGUCUGUGCUAGAUACUCGGAAGGUUCAGUUACUUGAAAAGUGAUUUGUACUAAUUAAUAAGUGAUCCAAUUCGUCCAUCUCAAAAAAUUAUAGUGUUUACAAUCUGAAGAGAUUUACAACUAUGGCCGAUUAAAAACUUACAAACAAAUGGAUUUAAAUUUACAAGUUAUGGGCCCAGUUAAAAAAAAUCCAUCAGUUACUUGUAGAAUAUAUUAAUGAAUGUACACACACUAUUAAAUCACUUUAAGAGGGAAGCUUUAUCGUACGGAAGUUACAACAAAAUCGGCUUAAUUACCACAGUCAAUUAAUAAUGGAAUUUUCUAAUCGUGCGCGCUCGCCGUAAAAAGAUAUAUCUUGUUCGCCCGUUAGCGACCUCUGCCGGUAAUUGGAGUAGAUAUCGGCACUAACGGAGCGCCCUUUGCGUUAGAUAGUGGAUGCAACUAAUAAAAUUAACUCUGCAUUUUUAAUGGUUUUAUAACAACUAGCUGACGAAGUACCUGCCGCCCUGCUAUCAUACGCCCGACAACCUGCCUCUUUUUUGCCUCAAGUUUGACUAACGUUUGCCUUAAGUUUGCCCCAGGUUUACCUCGGGUUUGACUCAGGCAUAGGUGAGCCACAACAAUGUUGCAUCUAGAUCGGCGCAGCGAAAGCGCUACAUAAAAUAAAAGCGGGCAUUAGAAAACAUAAGAGAUUAAACGCGAAGAAAAAUAAAUCAGCGACCCACGCGACCAGACCUAGCCCAAUGGACCGACAGAAAAAAUAAUAAACUUGAUAUAGACGUACAAAUAAGCAGAUGUCCUAUCUGAUGGUGAGUGAAAACGUGAAAAACCAUCGCUUGUAAAGAGUAACACUUCACGUUCAUGGAACGUGCAACGUAUAGGUACGAGUAGGUACAGCAAAGUACCACCCAGUGCCCAUCAAUAGUAACAGCGUCUUGCCUGUCUAACACAUCAAAAGUCUAUGGUUGCAAAGGAAAAAAAGCGCGAAUGAACGCGAAUACACCCGAGGCGAAUGACCAGCGAAAAAUAAGACGAAAUCGAGCUCGUGCGCACAUGUUCGGCCAUUUUUUUACUAGCCGUCCCUUUCUAGCGCCAAAAAUGGGUGCGCGUGUGGUAAGUGCGAGAGGGAUAGAGCAAAAGAAAGCGCGAAAGAGUUGCCCCGUCUGUUAUUUCCGUGCGUUGCCGCUUGGAGCGCUGGCGGCGCGGGAAACUUCUUCCUGUUUGAUGUGAGUAUGAAGUGCUAUGAACUAUGAAUGGUGAAAUAAUUUUUCAAUGUAAUGUUAUAUUUACAUAUUUAUUUAUUAUUAGUUUUUUGAGUAGGUAAUUCACUUUUUAUGUAAAGUUCAGAUCCCAGGUCAGACCAACAAAAAAAAAAAUUUAAUAAAACAACCAAGACCACCGACUUCAACUCAAAAAUAACCUAAACUAAU